AUUGAACGCUGGCGGCAUGCCUUACACAUGCAAGUCGAACGGCAGCGGACCUUCGGGUGCCGGCGAGUGGCGAACGGGUGAGUAAAGUAUCGGAACGUACCUUUCAGUGGGGGAUAACGUAGCGAAAGUUGCGCUAAUACCGCAUAUUCUGUGAGCAGGAAAGCAGGGGAUCGCAAGACCUUGCGCUGAUUGAGCGGCCGAUAUCAGAUUAGCUAGUUGGUGGGGUAAAGGCUCACCAAGGCGACGAUCUGUAGCGGGUCUGAGAGGAUGAUCCGCCACACUGGAACGGAGACACGGUCCAGACUCCUACGGGAGGCAGCAGUGGGGAAUUUUGGGCAAUGGGGGCAACCCUGAUCCAGCCAUGCCGCGUGAGUGAAGAAGGCCUUCGGGUUGUAAAGCUCUUUCGUCCGGGAAGAAAUCGCAUCAGCUAAUACCUGGUGUGGAUGACGGUACCGGAAUAAGAAGCACCGGCUAACUACGUGCCAGCCGCCGCCGUAAUAC
rnacentral:rRNA from 1 species